GGGCCUGUUUUCUUCCACCUUGCUAAACUUUAGAUGCUAAAAGUUGCUAAACUUUAGUUGCUAAACUUUAGCAAAGCUGUUUGGAUACUCUUGCUAAAAGGCAUUUAAUGAGCUGUAAAAGGACCUAUCUACCCUUAUUAAAGGUGAGCAGGAGGGGGGAGACAAGCAAUAAAUGAGGGGUAUAUGUUGUCCAGCCCACCUUUUAGCAAGUUUUAGC
rnacentral:lncRNA from 1 species